rnacentral:rRNA from 1 species
AUGGCAGCUUACGAGAUGUGUGUAUCCAGCAAAUGGCCAUCAGAUGGCCUCGCCAUUAGCUCAUACAUCUCCCUCCUGACAAUGCUCAUGGACAAGGAAGAGGACGUGCACAAGUUGCGAGCGAAGCACCUCGUUCGCAGCUUACUCAGUAACCACGAGCUGCUUGUUUUCUUCAAGAGUCUCGCAUGCCAUUUGCGCCUUGGCUACCGCUAUUUCGUCAUCACUGAGAAGAUAGAUAAGUUCAAGCGUGAAAGACCUGUGAGGAUAGCCCUGCAUAGGUUCGUCUACAACAACUUCAAGACAAUCGUCGUCAUGCUCUCUAUUACUGGUGUGCUCGCAGGUAUCUUCAGAACCUUGAUGAGUCUCAAACAGCAUCAGCCAUAG